rnacentral:rRNA from 1 species
GAUGAACGCUGGCGGCGUGCCUAAUACAUGCAAGUCGAGCGAACGGACGAGAAGCUUGCUUUUCUGAUGUUAGCGGCGGACGGGUGAGUAACACGUGGAUAACCUACCUAUAAGACUGGGAUAACUUCGGGAAACCGGAGCUAAUACCGGAUAAUAUUAUGAACCGCAUGGUUCAAAAGUGAAAGACGGUCUUGCUGUCACUUAUAGAUGGAUCCGCGCUGCAUUAGCUAGUUGGUAAGGUAACGGCUUACCAAGGCAACGAUGCAUAGCCGACCUGAGAGGGUGAUCGGCCACACUGGAACUGAGACACGGUCCAGACUCCUACGGGAGGCAGCAGUAGGGAAUCUUCCGCAAUGGGCGAAAGCCUGACGGAGCAACGCCGCGUGAGUGAUGAAGGUCUUCGGAUCGUAAAACUCUGUUAUUAGGGAAGAACAUAUGUGUAAGUAACUGUGCACAUCUUGACGGUACCUAAUCAGAAAGCCACGGCUAACUACGUG